rnacentral:rRNA from 1 species
AAACCAACAGGGAUUGCCCUAGUAACGGCGAGUGAAGCGGCAACAGCUCAAAUUUGAAAUCUGGCUCUUUCAGAGUCCGAGUUGUAAUUUGCAGAGGGCGCUUUGGCGUUGGCAGCGGUCCAAGUUCUUUGGAACAGGACGUCACAGAGGGUGAGAAUCCCGUACGUGGUCGCUAGCCUUCGCCGUGUAAAGCCCCUUCGACGAGUCGAGUUGUUUGGGAAUGCAGCUCUAAAUGGGAGGUAAAUUUCUUCUAAAGCUAAAUACUGGCCAGAGACCGAUAGCGCACAAGUAGAGUGAUCGAAAGAUGAAAAGCACUUUGGAAAGAGAGUCAAAUAGCACGUGAAAUUGUUGAAAGGGAAGCGCUUGCAGCCAGACUUGCCUGUAGUUGCUUAUCUGGACUUUUGUCCGGUGCACUCUUCUGCGGGCAGGCCAGCAUCAGUUUGGGCGGUUGGAUAAAGGUCUCUGUCAUGUACCUCCUUUCGGGGAGGCCUUAUAGGGGAGACGACANGCAACCAGCCUGGACUGAGGUCCGCGCAUCUGCUAGGAUGCUGGCGUAAUGGCUGUAAGCGGC